GCGAUGGCGAACGGAUGACGGCGACGGCGGCAACAAACGGUGGAUAGCCGGCGGCAGUGUCAGCAGCAGGACUGAUCGAAGGAUAUUAGACGAGCCCCGGUCAUCCCUAGGUGUGCUACAUAUUCAAGUACCACACCCUACACACAAGGGGGAUUCGAACCCGCGAUAUGAGGGGACUUACGACCUUCAGAGAGGCCGCUCUGCCAACAGACCACGAAGACUUGCAAGCUAUCUCAAUAAAUUGCAGCACCAAGCCCCAAAGUUUCAUCUUCAUGCAGUGUAAAAGAGGGGUGGUGGUAUUCAAAGGUGGGUUUCUAGAAGCAAUCCAGCUGAAAGCUAUACUUGAGGAAUACAUAUUUCGUUGACUUUGUUCAUGUUGUGAAAUAAAUUUAUGGAUAAUUUUAUAUUAAAAAAGUCAAAUCUAGCUGAAAUCCAUGACAUGAUCUGCUGUGAUCCAUGCUUUACUUAUUCUUGCUUUCCUAUAGACUUGUCAGUGAAAUUGCUGAAUGUU